UACGGAGGGAGCUAGCGUUAUUCGGAAUUACUGGGCGUAAAGCGCACGUAGGCGGCUUUGUAAGUGAGGCGUGAAAGCCCGGGGCUUAACCCCGGAAUUGCACCUCAAACUACACGGCUAGAGCAUUGGAGAGGGUAGCAGAAUUCACGGUGUAGCAGUGAAAUGCGUAGAUAUCGUGAGAAAUACCAGAGGCGAAGGCGGCUACCUGGACAAUUGCUGACGCUCAGGCACGAAAGCGUGGGGAGCAAACAGG
rnacentral:rRNA from 1 species